GGUUAAGCGACUAAGCGUACACGGUGGAUGCCCUGGCAGUCAGAGGCGAUGAAGGGCGUGCUAAUCUGCGAUAAGCGCCGGUAAGGUGAUAUGAACCGUUAUAACCGGCGAUACCCGAAUGGGGAAACCCAGUGUGAUUCGUCACACUAUCAUUAACUGAAUCCAUAGGUUAAUGAGGCGAACCGGGGGAACUGAAACAUCUAAGUACCCCGAGGAAAA
rnacentral:rRNA from 1 species